GUCCCCCAGCUCUUGAACAGCUGUGACCACAGCCACUAGCCAAUGACUAUUUCAAUCUUUCUCAGUUUUGCUCCUCUCAGUUUAAUCAUCCAGGAGAGUCAGAGUACAACCCCUGCUUACAAUUCUUUCAGGUGGUCUCCCUCAUGCGUCUGUGGUCAGCUGGUUGGUCAGUGGAGGAUCACGACUGGUCAAGAUAGGAGCUUGUCUUUGCUUCACAUGGUAGCAGGAAGAGAGUUGCGGAAGAUGAGUGAGGACAUUCUUUGGACUGGCCAAUUGAGAGGCAGAGAUGACCACAAAUAGAGGAAUUUCUGGUCAAUGGUGAAACUUAACUUGCAACCACUGUCUUGUGCCAUGAUGGAAGCUCAUUGAGGACAAAGCAGACAAGCUAAGAAGAACAGAUCAGAAGCCAAUUGGUCUUAGAUGGUUUCAUUGAACUUUGGAAUAAAUCAACCCUGGAGCUGUCCUCCUUUGGAACUUGUGUUAUGUGAAAUAAUAAACUACUCUCAUUGCUUAAACCA